rnacentral:rRNA from 1 species
UACAGAGGUCCCGAGCGUUGUUCGGAUUCAUUGGGCGUAAAGGGUGCGUAGGUGGCGCUGUAAGUCGGGUGUGAAAUCUUGGAGCUUAACUCCGAAACUGCAUUCGAUACUGCCGUGCUUGAGGACUGGAGAGGAGACUGGAAUUUACGGUGUAGCGGUGAAAUGCGUAGAUAUCGGGAGGAACACCUGUGGCGAAAGCGGCUCACUGGACCAUUACUGACGCUGAUGCACGAAAGCUAGGGGAGCAAACAGG